ensembl:misc_RNA Metazoa_SRP Metazoan signal recognition particle RNA
GAUUAGAAAUGUUUCAUUGUGUCUGACACAGUGGCUGAGACAGAAGGAUCACUUGAGUCCAGUUCUGGGCUGUAGUGUGCUAUGCCAAUGGGUGUCUGCACUAAAUUCAGCAUCAAUAUGGUGACCUCUCUGGAGCCGGGGGCCACCAGGUUGCCUAAGGAGGGGUGAACCAGCCCAGGUUGGAAAUGGAACAGAUCAAAACUCCAUUGCAAAUUAGUAGUGGGAUUGCACCUGUGAAUAGCCACUGCACUCCAGCCUGGGCAACAUAGCGAGACCCUGUCU